rnacentral:misc_RNA from 1 species
UCCGAGUUAUCCCCGGCAGUCUCCUAUGAGUCCCCGGCCGAACCGCUGGCAACAUAGGACAAGGGUUGCGCUCGUUGCGGGACUUAACCCAACAUCUCACGACACGAGCUGACGACAGCCAUGCACCACCUGUCACGGGCCCUUACGGACACUGUAUUUCUACAGCUUUUCCCGUGAUGUCAAACCCAGGUAAGGUGGGGAUGACGUGUAACCGAAUCU